rnacentral:rRNA from 1 species
GAACUGCGCAAACGUUAUUCGGAAUCACUGGGGCUUAAAGAGUCCGUAGGCGGCUCGGCAGGUGAGGUGUGAAAUCCCACGGGCUCAACCGUGGGAAUUGCGCUUCAAACCGCCGGGCUAGAGGGAGAUAGAGGAGAGCGGAACUGAUGGUGGAGCGGUGAAAUGCGUUGAUAUCAUCAGGAACACCGGUGGCGAAAGCGGCUCUCUGGGUCUCUUCUGACGCUGAGGGACGAAAGCUAGGGGAGCGAACGGGAUUAGAUACCCCGGUAGUCCUAGCUGUAAACGAUGAGCACUAGAUCGAGGGGACUCCCACAUCCUCUUGGUCGGAGCGAAAGUGUUAAGUGCUCCGCCUGGGGAGUAUGGUCGCAAGGCUG